rnacentral:rRNA from 1 species
ACUCAAAUGAAUUGACGGGGACUUGCACAAGCGGAGGAUCAUGUGGUUUAAUUCGAUGGUAAACGAAGAACCUUACCAGGGUUAGAAAUCCAGUUGAAGCUAGGCAGAAACGUCUAGCGCCGCAAGGCAAUUGGACAGGUGCUGCAUGGUCGUCGUCAGUUCGUGAUUUGAAUUGUUCCCUUCAGUGGGGUAACGAACGCAACCCUCAUUGCCUGUUAUAAGUGUCAGGCGAGACUGCCCAGCUCUGUGAGCAUGAUCAAAGUCGAGAAAUCGGCCGAGAUCGUGAACAGAGAGCUGGGAGGAAGGUGAGGAUGACGCCAGAUCAGCAUGGCCCUCUGAUACCCUGGGCUACACACGUGAUACAAUGACGGAUACAACGCGAUGCGACGGGGAGACCCUGAGCCAAUCGUUUAAAGUCCGCCCUAGUUCGGAUAGGAGUCUGCAACUCGACUCCUUGAAGCUGGAUUCGCUAGUAAUCUCGGGUCAGCCAUACCGAGGUGAAUACGUUCUCAAGUCUUGUACACACCGCCCGU